GAAAUUGGUUUUUUUAAACUUAUUAAUUUAUUAAAUAUUAAAUAUUAAAAAUUAAAUAUAAAGAGUAGACCGACAUAUUUGUAUUUACAGGGACAACAGGUAUUCAUGUGCCGAUUCAAGACUUGCAGCCACUUUGAUGAAAACAAACUUUGCAAUCUUCUCAAAAGUCACGAGUGAAAGAGUUCGGUUGGUUGCAUGCAGCCAGGUUUAUUCUACAAGGACUUCAUCCUCUUUAAUUAGUGCCAAAUGAGCUUUAGGAUUAUACUUAUUUACCUAGUAUGAAAAUGAAAACAUGUUUGCCAAGUAUUAUGCAGGAAUGCUCGUUUGAACUUUUCCUGGUUUCAUGCAAAUUUUAAGUGUUUAAUUAGCCUUUUGUAGCACUAAGCAUUUUCUAGUGGAUUAAAAUGGAUUUGGCCGGACAUGCUAUAUGUGGCAGGUCCUAAACACUUGAGAAGGAUUUGAAUAUGGAGGAUCUAACACAAUGACGAAUUUCACAUCGAUGUUUAUGGUGACUGCUACAUUGGGUCCUGAACCUCCUCUUUGUGUUUCAGGAUGUUAAUUUUCCAAUGCUGUUUCUUUAUCACCCUGCGAGUUCAUCUUGUAAUUUAACCUGUUCAGGAAAAUUUCUAUUGAGCUUCGUCAUUAGUCGUUCGUACUUUUCAGGUGAUAUGUUAACUCAUUUGUCAGCAUAAAGAUUUCAAUGCAGGUUCCUGGCAGUGCUCUAUCAACUGAAAGGGGAGGUCACAGACAUUGUUUCUGUUGCACUGAGGCUGGAUUACUACAGAACAAAAUCAGAGUUGCCUGCUGCAGAAUCUCAAGAUUACCAGGCAGGAAAUCGACCAAAGAUUAGCUUGUAAUGUCCGUGAGCCUUGAUUUCUGGACCAGAGAUAUAUGGUUAACUAACAUCCUCAACUGGGAAUUUAUAAUUUUAUGCUCUCAAACUCAAGUUUCCGACUGAAAACAAAGAAAGCAAUGAUAUGGACAAAAGAAUGUGCAAGUGGAAUGAUGCUGCACAUGGGUACUUUCAAUAUAGUAUUCAUCAGGAUUUUGAUAAAAGGACAUGUGAUUCUUCUAGUCAAGGCCUCUCUCCACUAGGCUUUUUGUCUCUUUAUUUCACGAAUGGACUCGAAGACAAUGCACAAAUACAAACAAACCAUAAUUGUGUGUGCAUGCACAAAACAAAACAUAUUGUUAAGCAACAAAUUCAGUGAUACCUCUUGUUUUCUAUCUGAAAUUUCCUUAUUCCUAUCUGCAUCUUUCACCUAAUACAUCUCUGACCCACUUCUUCUCGUCCUGAAUAUAAUCUCACAAGCCUGUAGUUUACAUCAACAACGGCUUAGACUUGACCGUUUUCCUCUGUCUGAAUGUGUUAAACGAGGCAGUAACUUCUGCCAAGCUAGGCCAUACUUCUUCUUACAAAAAAGAAAAAAGCAAGAGAUCGGCAGUCUAAUCUUAUUCCAAUUAAUACAA